CCACACUCAGGGUGAGAGGGAGAUUCUGAAGCUUUGUGUUUCUUGCUAGCUAGUCAAAGGAUAGAAAAAUAAUACAUGCCAAAAGAAAUUUGAGGAACAAAUUCAGCCCUGAGACAGGUCACGGAAACAGCCCUCCAGUCUUCCUCAAGAAAUGUAGACUGAAUCAGCAUUUACCCACCCCUGGAAAAACGCAGGAGCUGCGCAUUCCUGGGAUCUCAGCAGGGCUUUUGGGAAGAGCAGAACUGGGCUGGAGUCACGGUUUCUGGGCUGACUCUAGAUUUUCCCCGGCUUUUGCCACCUGUGAUGGCUGGAGAGUAUCUGAAGAUGACAGCCAGUGUCCUUAGCUUGUGAAGAUUGGAUGAUGGCCGGGGCCCUCAGACCCCUUGGCCCCUCCUUAACUGCAGGUCUUCAAAAGCCCAACACCUGUUCGUCAUUUCUGUGGCUUCCCAGGGAGUCUUACUCUUCUGCUUCAAGCUGCUGGGUUUGACUCUGAGCAGUUUCUGUGCAGCCACAAAGAUUCUUAUGUGAGACACACUGCUGCUUCAGAGUGCUCCAACCCAUCUCCCCUGAUUAAACACUAACCAGGGCUGCCACAGCAAAGUGGCUCAAAUGGGUGACGUCAACAACAGAUUUACUUUCUCAUAGUUCUGGAGGCAGGUGUCUAGGAUCAAGGUGGUGGCAAGGCUAUUCCUUCUGUUGCCUCCCUCCUUGCCUUGUGGAUGACCGUCUUCUCCGCGUCUUUCCAAGAUCUCUCCUCUGUGCAUGUCAGUGUCCUUGCUUCCUCUUCUUAUGAAGACACCGGUCAUGUUGGAAUGCAACAGAAGAGAGUGCACGGCUUCUGAGGUUGCAGCUUUUGGGAGAAGCCAUCUACCAUUGAUGACAGACAUGCCGUGUGGAAACCAAACCAGCCAUGUGGAGAGGCUACCUGGACAGAGGCACAGGGCCAGCAGCAGCUGUGGAGACAGACAUGUGAGCAAAGAAAUCAUCUUUGAUGUACAGCCAAGUUGAGCCUUCAGAUGACUCCGAUUUCAGCCACCUUUGGACUGCAACCACAUGAAAGACUCUAAAUAGAAGCCUCCCAGCUGAUCCCGGUUAACCCACAGUGCUGAAGGGGAUAAUAAUAAAUUG
rnacentral:lncRNA from 1 species